rnacentral:misc_RNA from 1 species
UCUCAUUGCUCUCUAAAAGUCUUUCAUUUUCGUUCUUCCCUUACAAAUUCUUCAUCCCUUUGGCCUCCUCUAGUAGAUAUCUUUUAUUUUUGUUCGUUAUUUCAGGGUUUCUUCUCUUUAGCCUCUCAACACAGAGCAGAUCUGAAUAGUUCUCCAGCAGAUCCUCUAUUGUUCUAUAGGUUGCUCCUCUGUUGUUCAACGGACAGAUGGAUGCUGAUGGCAUUGAAGUGGAUCUUGAAUCAAACAGCAUGAAUCUAACAUUAGAUGGAACAAAUGAAGAGGAAGAUGAUGUAAUAGAGUUAGAAAAAAUUGAUGAAAAAAUGAAAGUCAAAGGCAAGCACAAAAGAAGGUUAACUUCUCAAGUGUGGAGUUUUUUUUUUUAUGUCAGAUAAGUCGGUUGAUGGAAAGCCAAGAUGCAAGUGUAAGAAAUGUGGAGCUAUAUUUAUUUGUGAUAGCAAGUAUGGG